CACGUAGGGCGCGAGCGUUGUCCGGAAUUAUUGGGCGUAAAGAGCUCGUAGGCGGCCUGUUGCGUCCGCUGUGAAAGCCCGGGGCUUAACCCCGGGUCGGCAGUGGAUACGGGCAGGCUAGAGGUAGGUAGGGGAGAAUGGAAUUCCCGGUGUAGUGGUGGAAUGCGUAGAGAUCGGGAGGAACACCCGUGGCGAAGGCGGUGGCCUGGACCUGUUGCUGACGCUGAGGCGCGAAAGCGUGGGGAGCGAUCCGG
rnacentral:rRNA from 1 species